CGGCGUUCUAGAAGAGGAUCUGCGAGGCCGCUAGACGGCGACUAAGCGCUAGCACCCCCCCCCCCCCCUCAAAUUUUGCUCUAGGCGAUGGAGGAAAUCGUUCUGGGUUUCGGCGGUCUGGGCGCUGGGUGUCGAUCUAUAAUAUUUUUAACCCAGACAUAUCUCUUCUCUCCUCCAAUCUGUCCCUCUCUCUCUCUCCCCUUCGAUCGGUGAAAACUCGGAAAGGAAGCAAGAUUGGGGAACAAAGAAAAAAUCAAACUCUGUAAUUAGGGUUUUAGAGAGACACAGUAAUAUGGACCAUGGCCUUCGUCCCAGACAGAGGGAGUUCUUCAUUGGCUUCACAAAGGGCCAGUUGCAGCUCUGCUGAUCUCCAAAAGCCAGCUGAACUGGAUGGGAAGGCAUGUGCAGCUGUUGGACAGCCUGAUCUGAUGGCUCUCUUUAAGUCCGUGUUUAGUGAGAAUGUGACACAAGCUUAGUGUCUUGUCACAGAAAGUGACUUUAGGGGUAAAUAUUUUCAAAGGCAGCUGAAAGAAACGGUCGAUCACUUGCUAUCUUUAAAGACUAUACCUAUAUUCAAUGAAAAUGAUGCAGUUAGUACCAGAACAGAUUUAUGUGAGGAUUCUUCUGGUAUAUUUUGGGACAAUGACAGUUUGGCAGCUAUACUAGCUAAGGAGCUAAAGGCUGAUCUUCUUAUCCUUAUGAGUGAUGUGGAGGGUCUCUACAGUGGGCCUCCCAAGUGACACAAAUUCAGAGCUCAUUCAUUCAUACAUACAUAAAGGAGAGGCAUCAAGGCGGAGUCACUUGUGGAGUAAAAUCAAGAAUGGGACGAGGGGAAUGGCUGCGAAAGUAAAGGCUGCUGUUGAUGCAGCUUCUGCUGGCAUCCCUGUUGUCAUCACCAGGUGUUCUUCAAGACUUGGUUGGUGUCAUCAUUUUAUGAAAUUUUGUUAGAAAACAUAUGUAUGAAUGAUUAACUAUGUUUCUUCUAAUGCAAUUUUUUUUAUGAAGAUUUAAUUGUCUCCUUGUAUGUUUAAUAAAAAAAUUAUCUUUAUUCAUCUACCUCUUCCAAUUAGGUUAGUUGACAAUUAAAUUGAGUGGGAGGAAAAAAAAAAUUGCUGACAAAUUUCAACGAAUAAAUCUAGUGGAAAAACAUUUCCGACCACUUUUUCCGACCACAAUAUCAUUCUCGGAAAUGUUAGAUUAUAUUUUUCCGACAGGAAAUAUCAAUUUCCGAGAAAAAUAUGACCCUCGAAACUUAUUCAUUUUCGAUGCCAAAUAGUCGUCGGAAUUAAAUAUUCUUAUCGGAAAUAGUUUUUUCCAACCACUACUAUUCGUCAGAAAUAAGUCCUUGGAAAAAAAUGGAUUGGCUAGCAACCAAUUUUUUCCUACAAGCAACGAAUUAUUUCCAACAAACAUCUUUUGUCGGAAAUACUAUUUGUCGUCGAUGAGGAGUAACAAUUUCCGACCACAGAAAAAUUAUUUAUGACCACAUCUGGCUGUCGGAAAUAUAUCUUUUUCUGAGGGUUGGUCGGAAAAAGACUAUUUCCGAUGGUAUUUUUUCCGAGGACCACCGAGGGCACCUUGCGGUCGGAAAUAGCUUUUUCCGACGGGGAAAGUGGCUUUUCCGACCAAAUCGCACCCUUGGAAAUGACUAUAAUUGUUGUAGUGAAUCGUUCGACCAACCCUAGAUCAGUUGCUUCACUUGCUUCACUUGCUUGGUUGAAGUGGUUGCUCAGAGACUUAUACGGUGUUCAAUUGGUGUUUCCGAGCACAAAUAAUUAGGAAAGUCCUUUGAAGCUUGAAGGUAUUGACCAUGGAUUUUAGUUGAGGCUUUAUCAGUUUAUCCUGAGGCAGGGAGGUGAUCGAGGUCUUUGAUUAGACCAUGGCUUCUAGAAGUAGGUCAGGAAGUAAUUGUUGUUCAUCUCCUUCCAUAACUUCAAACAUGGUUACUGGAAGUUAUCAAUCUGUUAGUGUUUCCCCAAAUGAUAACCAAAACCCUUUACCACCAGUAGGUAACUUACCACCAAUAGAUAAUAGUACCCCAACUGAAACACCUAACUUAGUUCCCACUACAACCCCAACUGAAACACCAAAUCCAGAUCCUGAAUUGGUGGAAGCUACUGCGGGGCUGGGGAAAAGAAAAGGAGUAGAUAAGACCACAAAGGAAACUGCUGCGCUUAAUUUGGGAGGUGCGAACUCGUCUACGACAAGUACUGCUUGAAGAUUUGGAUGGUGCAAACAUCCAGAUCGAAGAUAUAGCUGCUGUGCAUUUUUUGGUCAAGUCUUUGGAGUCUACUUGAAGAUUUGGAUGCAGCUGCUGUGUUUUUUGUUUUGUUUGUUUAGUCUUUGGAACACUCUAAUCACUUGCAGCUUUUUGUUUAUUUCAAUUUGAGGUUCUGUAAUAUUCAUUGUUUAUUUCAAUUUGAGGUUCUGUAAUAUUCAAUAACCUUUAGACAACGUGACAUACACUUGAUGAAGAUGUAUUAUU